UUCCGGUUGAUCCUGCCGGAGGCUACUGCUAUCGGAAUUCGAUUAAGCCAUGCGAGUCGAGAGGGUUCGGCCCUCGGCUGACUGCUCAGUAACACGUGGAUAACUUGCCCUCAGGUAGGGGAUAAUCUCGGGAAACUGAGGAUAAUACCCUAUAGACAUCCUUUGCUGGAAUGCUUGGAUGUUCAAAGGCGACGCCUGAGGAUAGGUCUGCGGCCUAUCAGGUUGUAGUGGGUGUAACGGACCCACUAGCCAGCGACGGGUACGGGCCUUGAAAGAGGUAGCCCGGAGAUGGACUCUGAGACACGAGUCCAGGCCCUACGGGGCGCAGCAGGCGCGAAAACUUCGCAAUGCGGGAAACCGUGACGAGGGAAUUCCGAGUGCUCAUACAAUGUAUGGGCUUUUCUGAUGUGUAAAAAGCAUUAGGAAUAAGGGCUGGGUAAGACCGGUGCCAGCCGCCGCGGUAAUACCGGCAGCUCUAGUGGUAGCCACUUUUAUUGGGCCUAAAGCGUCCGUAGCCGGUCGGGUAAAUCCUUGGGUAAAUCGCACAGCUUAACUGUGCGGCUUCCGGGGAGACUGCUCGACUUGGGACCGGGAGAGGUUGGAGGUACUCCUGGGGUAGGGGUGAAAUCCUGUAAUCCUAGGUGGACCACCGGUGGCGAAGGCGUCCAACCAGAACGGCUCCGACGGUGAGGGACGAAAGGCUAGGGGCGCAAACCGGAUUAGAUACCCGGGUAGUCCUAGCUGUAAACGCUGCAGACUUGGUGUUGGAGAUCCCACGAGGGUGUCCAGUGCCCGGAGAGAAGUUGUUAAGUUUGCCGCCUGGGAAGUAUGGCCGCAAGGCUGAAACUUAAAGGAAUUGGCGGGGGAGCACCGCAACGGGAGGAGCGUGCGGUUUAAUUGGAUUCAACGCCAGA
rnacentral:rRNA from 1 species